AUGGACUUCGACGAGUACGAGUACCUCGAGAAGACGGUCGAGGCCUCCGCCGCGCCUCCGGCCAACGGAUCCGACGGGAAGGACCGCAGCUCCCGCCGCCGGAGCAGCGCCGGCGACGGAGAGGACCGCGACGACGGCGAGCGCCGGUCCAAGCGCUCUCGCUCCGAGCACCGCGACCGCGACCUCGAGAGCCGGGAGCGCCACCGCAGCAGCCGGGAGCGCCGGGACCGCGACCGGGACCGGGACGUGAGGGAGAAGGAGAGGCUGGGCAGGGAGAGCGAGCGGGAGAGGGAGAAGGAGAGGGAGCGGAGGAGCCGCGACCGCGACCGCGAGCGGGAGAAGGAGAGGGAGAGGGAGCGGAGGAGCCGCAGCCGGUCGGAGCGUCGCCGUGAUGACGACGAGCGAGAGCGAGAGCGCUUCCGUGAGCGCGACUACCGUGACCGUGACGUCAGACGUAGGAAAGAAGAUGGUGCUGAACCUGAAGCAGAUCCAGAAAGAGAUCAAAGAACUGUAUUUGCCUUCCAGCUAUCAUUGAAGGCGGAUGAAAGAGAUGUGUAUGAGUUCUUCUCAAGGGCCGGGAAGGUCCGGGAUGUCCGCUUAAUAAUGGAUCGAAACUCACGACGUUCUAAAGGAGUCGGGUAUAUUGAAUUUUAUGAUGCUAUGUCGGUUCCAAUGGCGAUUGCUCUUUUAGAGGUCAACCGCUUCUUGGUCUUCGAACCAUUUGGAUUGGUUGAGCUUGUCCAGCUGCCUGUAGACCCACUUACCGGAUUAUGUAAAGGUUUUGGUUUUGUGCAGUUUGCACGUCUGGAAGAUGCAAAAGCUGCUCAGAGUUUAAAUGGUCAACUUGAUAUUGCUGGAAAAGUAAUCAAGGUUUCAGCUGUGACGGAGCAACCGGGAGUGCAAGCCAGUGGGGCAACCGCAGGCGAUUUGGAUGAUGACGAAGGUGGAGGCUUGGCACUGAAUGCUAGCUCGAGAGCUCUUCUUAUGCAGAAACUGGACCGUAGUGGCGCCACCACCAGUUUGACUUCUGGGUUGGGUGCUUCUGCCGUGGCAUUACCACCUGUUCUUGGUGCUCCUGCAACUGGUACUGUGCUACAGCCUACAGUGCCUGGUCUUGGUUUAAUUCCAGGGGCAUCUAUUCCAGUUAUUACCCAGUCCAUUGACACGGCUCCACCUAGUGAAUGCCUAUUGCUCAAGAAUAUGUUUGAUCCAGCUGUGGAGACGGAUCCUGAUUUUGAUUUAGAUAUUAGAGAUGAUGUUCGAGAAGAAUGUUCUAAGUUUGGGCAAGUAAGACACAUUUUUGUAGACAAAAAUACCGCAGGCUUUGUGUACCUGCGGUUCGAUAGCAUAACGGCCGCCAUGGGUGCACAGAAAGCACUUCAAGGGCGAUGGUUUGCGGGAAAGAUGAUUACUGCAACAUUUAUGUCCACUCAGCAGUAUGAAAUGAAGUUCCCAGAGUGA
rnacentral:rRNA from 1 species